UGCUUGGGACAAUCCUGCCUCUUUAUGGUC
rnacentral:piRNA from 1 species